rnacentral:lncRNA from 1 species
UCCUCAACUAUAUUACUCAUCAUCAUCUCUCAUUCAUCAACUCAUCAACUCAUCAACACAACCAUCAACUAAUACCAAACAAUUAACAAGUAUACACUUAUUAAAUUACUCAUAAACAUCAUUUCAAAACCAAGUAAAUACUCUCAAGUCAUGCUUCAAUAAGUGAGAAAUAAAUUCAAUAAAAUAAGCCUACGAAGUACAUUAAUUAUAUCUAAAUCAUACCAACAUAUAAGCAACUUGUAUAAACCAAGCCUUAUGUCAGCAAACUAACUCCGUAAACGGAAUCUACGCGAAAAACUAUGAAAAAUAGGUUCCGACAAAAAAAGUAACCAAAAAGUCAACCAGAAAAAGGAACAGUCAAACAAAAGUUAGCGUCGGCCAAAGCGUCGGCCAGUGUUCGACGCAAAGCUACAGAAUUUUGACAGAAAACGCAAAAUGCUUCGGAUUCUCCAAAAUAAUCACUUAUUUUCACAUAUAACCACUUAUUUCGACUCAAAAACAUACAUACAUCAUUUACCAUGCUUACAUGUGAUCAAAAGCACUUAAAACAACUUAAAAUCAUCAAACAACUCAUUAACUCAUGGAUUUUUACUCAUUUUUAUAAAACUCAUAAACUUGUUCAAAUACCAUCAUCCAUGAUCAAAACAAACAUUUUUCUCAAAUCAAAACACUCAAUGAUCAUGAAUAAGCAUGUAGAAUCAUGAAUCAACACUUAAAGCUUCAAAAUAAAUCGGAUUCCCAAAAUUCUCAACCAAACCCAAAUGAGAUGAAGAGAGUUUGGGAAUGGAGGAAAAGGUUUCCUCCCCUCUCAUAAAGUUCAUCUCAAUGAAUUUCAAAACCACUCUCUUACCUUAGCUAGGAUGGAUUCUUUAGUCUUCUUCUUCAAUCCCUAAGAUUGUUCUUCCUCUCUUGGUUUUUCUUCAAAACUCACCAAAACCCUUCUUUCUCUUAUUUUCUCGUUCUAACCUCUUUUUCUUUUCUUUCCUUUUAUGACUAAAGACUUAUCCCUCUAUCUUAUCCUCUAAACCUAAUUUUCACUACCAUUUUAUCACUUACACCCCCAAAAAUACUUCUUAACACUCUUAUUUGUAUUCCU